rnacentral:rRNA from 1 species
AUUGAACGCUGGCGGCAGGCCUAACACAUGCAAGUCGAACGGAGCGGCGGUCGGGUGCGUAAUGCUAAGGACUCUGCCUGGCAGGGGGGGAUAACGUCAGGACACGGGCGGUUAUACAGCAUCCUAUCAGAUGAGCCUAGGUCGGAUUAGCUAGGUGGUGGGGUAAGGGCAUACCAAGGCGACGAUCCGUAACUGGUCUGAGAGGAUGACCAGCCACACUGGAACUGAGACACGGUCCAGACUCCUACGGGAGGCAGCAGUGGGGAAUAUUGGACAAUGGGCGAAAGCCUGAUCCAGCCAUGCCGCGUGUGUGAAGAAGGUCUUCGGAUUGUAAAGCACUUUAAGUUGGGAGGCGUUACCAACAGAAUAAGCACCGGCUAACUUCGUGCCAGCAGCCGCGGUAAUUC